UACGUAGGGUGCAAGCGUUAAUCGGAAUUACUGGGCGUAAAGCGAGUGUAGGCGGUUCGGUAAGUCGGAUGUGAAAGCCCCGGGCUCAACCCGGGAAGUGCACUCGAUACUGCCGAGCUAGAGUAUCGGAGAGGUUGGUGGAAUUCUCGGUGUAGAGGUGAAAUUCGUAGAUAUCGAGAGGAACACCGGUGGCGAAGGCGGCCAACUGGACGAAUACUGACGCUGAGACUCGAAAGCGUGGGGAGCAAACAGG
rnacentral:rRNA from 1 species